UUUAGGUAGUGGUGGAUUGUCUUUAUGUUACGUGUGUGUAUUUUAGGUAGUGGUGGAUUGUCUUUCUGUUACGUGUGUGUAUUUUAGGUAGUGGUGGAUUGUCUUUCUGUUACGUGUGUGUAUUUUAGGUAGUGGUGGAUUGUCUUUAUGUUACGUGUGUGUAUUUUAGGUAGUGGUGGAUUGUCUUUCUGUUACGUGUGUGUAUUUUAGGUAGUGGUGGAUUGUCUUUCUGUUACGUGUGUGUAUUUUAGGUAGUGGUGGAUUGUCUUUAUGUUACGUGUGUGUAUUUUAGGUAGUGGUGGAUUGUCUUUAUGUUAUGUGUGUGUAUUUUAGGUAGUGGUGGAUUGUCUUUAUGUUACGUGUGUGUAUUUUAGGUAGUGGUGGAUUGUCUUUAUGUUACGUGUGUGUAUUUUAGGUAGUGGUGGAUUGUCUUUAUGUUACGUGUGUGUAUUUUAGGUAGUGGUGGAUUGUCUUUAUGUUACGUGUGUGUAUUUUAGGUAGUGGUGGAUUGUCUUUAUGUUACGUGUGUGUAUUUUAGGUAGUGGUGGAUUGUCUUUAUGUUACGUGUGUGCAUUUUAGGUAGUGGUGGAUUGUCUUUAUGUUACGUGUGUGUAUUUUAGGUAGUGGUGGAUUGUCUUUAUGUUACGUGUGUGUAUUUUAGGUAGUGGUGGAUUGUCUUUAUGUUACGUGUGUGUAUUUUAGGUAGUGGUGGAUUGUCUUUCUGUUACGUGUGUGUAUUUUAGGUAGUGGUGGAUUGUCUUUAUGUUACGUGUGUGUAUUUUAGGUAGUGGUGGAUUGUCUUUAUGUUACGUGUGUGUAUUUUAGGUAGUGGUGGAUUGUCUUUAUGUUACGUGUGUGUAUUUUAGGUAGUGGUGGAUUGUCUUUAUGUUAUGUGUGUGCAUUUUAGGUAGUGGUGGAUUGUCUUUUCUUUAACUUGGCACCCUGUGGUUUUUGGGUUGUCUCGUUGUGUGUCCCGCGCCCUGUAUUUGUUGGGCUUAUUAUUUUGUUGUUUCUGAGUAAAGCACUUAAUCUCAGUGGAACUCUCUCUCUGCAUCGGAUUCCUGCACCCACCUAGUCCCGCGUGACAACAGGUAACACCAUAAACAAACGUAUGUUAUG